UAAAAGGAGUCCCAUUCGGACUGCAGGCUGNAACCCGCCUGCACGAAGUUGGAAUUGCUAGUAAUCGCGGAUCAGCAUGCCGCGGUGAAUACGUUCCCGGGCUUUGUACACACCGCCCGUCACACCAUGAGAGUUGGAGAUACCCGAAGCCUAUGAGCUAACUUUUAGAGGCAGUAGUCGAAGGUAGAAUCAAUGAUUGGGGUGAAGUCGUAACAAGGUAGC
rnacentral:rRNA from 1 species